AAUCCUGGCCAUGGUGCUUCCCAAAUUUUGUGAACAAUAUAACUGAGACCCAGAGACUUUCAUCAAAUUGUUAGACAAAGAACAGAAGGUACAGGUGCACUUUGGGUUCAAAUUCUGGAAACCCAUCAUGCCUUGCCUAAGAGGUAUCUUGCUGCUAAGACAACUGCCCAGAGAAAUCAGAUGUGUGUCCUGGAGAAACAUGA
rnacentral:lncRNA from 1 species